rnacentral:tRNA from 1 species
CGGGACGUGGCGCAGCCUGGUAGCGCGCUUGCUUCGGGAGCAAGAAGUCGCUGGUUCAAAUCCAGUCGUCCCGACCA